UCCUCAGUAGCUCAAUGGUAGAGCAUUCGGCUGUUAACCGAAGGGUUGUAGGUUCGAAUCCUACCUGAGGAG
rfam:Gammaproteobacteria bacterium RIFCSPLOWO2_02_FTLL_56_15 rifcsplowo2_02_scaffold_69950, whole genome shotgun sequence.